GUCCCCUUCGUCUAGUGGCCUAGGACGUCGCCCUCUCACGGCGAAAACAGGGGUUCGAGUCCCCUAGGGGACGCCA
rnacentral:tRNA from 1 species